GCAGGCGUCGUCCAAUGGUAGGGCCUUGGCCUUCCAAGCCAAUGAUGCGGGUUCGAAUCCCGCCGCCUGCU
rnacentral:tRNA from 1 species